ACAACAUCUCUGCAUAUAUCCUUGGGGAUUUCAACUGUAUAUAAUGGCACUCUGGAAAAGUGUCAUUGUGAUCAUAUUUUUAUAUAUCUGGGGAUGUAAAUCUCAAGACAAAGUUGAUCAGCACACAAAGAUUCAGUCUGCUUUUGAAGGUGAUGAUGUAACAAUCAACUGUACAUAUCAGACGUCUUAUACUUCUUACACCCUCUUCUGGUACCAGCAGAAAGUUAAUGGGAUCCCCAAGUACAUGUUGAACAGAUUCUCUAACUCUGAACACAAUGAGGAUGAAUUCAAGGAGAGAUUUCAAGCAAAUCUCAGCAAAACUUCAGUUCCUCUGACAAUCAAGAGCCUGUGUGUGUCUGACUCUGCUGUGUACUACUGUGCUCUGAAGCCCACUGUGACUCAAACACACUCAACACUCACACAAAAACUCUCACAGUGCAACAGCAUCAGUUACAUAAUUAUGCUAUAUUUCGAUUUGUAA